rnacentral:ribozyme from 1 species
AAGCUUUCACUCAGUGAAAAAAAAAAAAAAAAAAAAAAAAAAAAA